rnacentral:lncRNA from 1 species
UAAAUAAUAAAAGGAGAAAAAUUUUAGAAUAACAUCAAUGAAAGAGGUUAAUACACAAUUGUUUGAGGGUACCCCGUCUCUUGUUUUCGAGAUAAAUUUGGAUGAUGUUUCAUUGAUUCUCUAGAUAAAGAAUUUCACAUUAAGUUCAAAGAAAAAUGUUGUUUUGAUUCUCUGGACGAACAUAACCCAGUUAUUUCUGAAGAAAAGCCAAAUCAAUAUAUCAGAAAAUGAUCCUCUAGUCACAUAUUAUUAGCCUAAUUUACAUUAGAUUAAACAGGGGUGUUUGAGAAAAUAUGUUAACAAAUUAAGGAUUUACAGAGAGAUGAGAAUUAAUAAUAUCCAGAUAUGAGAUUAUUUUAUCCAGUUUGUUGCCUUAUCAUCUCCUUGAACUCUUCAUCAGUAGUCUUGAGCAUCAAAGGCAAGGGAAUUGAAACUCCACUCUGUACAAGUUCAAUGUGCCUUGGCUUUAUCCUCUUCUCCAAACUAAAAGCAAAAUACUGAGGAAACUCCAUUAAUUCAUCCAAUUCUCCCCCCAUUUCUUGAGAAAAGUAUUCAAAUUUAGGCUUGAAAUUGUUGUCCAAUUCAUCCAAUUCACCUCCCAUUUCUUGAGAAAAGUAUUCAAAUUUAGGCUUGAAAUUGUUGUCAAUGCUGAAAGUGAACAGCCCUGGACACCUCAAAGUCAUUUCCACUGCUUCAUUUCUUGAAAAUCCUAGACUUACCAAAUAGUCCAGCUUGGGUAUUAACGUAUUUUCCACACUGGAAACCAGCAAUAUUGGAUCCUGAUAAGCUAAAUGAUGCAAAUCUGUGAACCCAAGUCUUUGAAGAUAAAACAAAGCUGGUUUUAGCUGGUCUUUCACACUGCAAAUUAGUAAUCUUGGACAUUUGUUAAUGACCCUUCUGAAGUUACUUUCAGGGACUCUUGUAGUAAUCUUGGACAUUUGUUAAUUACCCUUCUGAAGUUACUUUCAGGGACUCUUAGAUCUUUUGAGAGGAAGUUGAAAACAGGAUUGAGUUCACAUCUUAUAUCUGAAGUCAAGAUUCUUGGGCACAUGCCAAAGAUUCUUGCAAAGUCCUUUUGGUGAAGGCCUUUGGACUGAAGGAAAGUGAUGAUGGAAUGAAUAGUGUUUAAAGAAGCUGUGUGGAGACAAGGGUUUUGAGAGAGUGCUUUUCCUGAAUCAACACCCAUGAUUUCCAAGCACAAGAUUUUCUCCUUGAAUUGCAAUGAAAUGUUCUUGUGAGUUGGUUGAUAGAGUGGGUUUUUUUGGAGAAUGGAUUUUGGUUUUGUUGAUAAAAGACUCAUUUGUUGCUCUGAUGGUGAUGGUAAUUUCUGAACAGAGAAGCAUAGAGAAGAAUGAAAAGAUGACAUGUUUCAACUAAUGGCAAGUUUUAGUUUGAUUCGAUGGUAUUUUCUGAACAGAGAAGCAUAGAGAAGAAUGAAAAGAUGACAUGUUUGGUAAGGGAAUUUCAACAAUGGCAAGUUUUAGUUUGAUUGAUUCUUAUGAAAUGGAUUCCUUUUUCUUUUGAUGAUUUUUAUAAGGCCACCUGGUAUUUUGGUUUGAAUUUAUUGGCUCUUUGUAGAUUUGGAUAGCAUAUUGUAAAUUACACACCAAGGUUCUUCGACAAGUAACUUAUCCUUUCUGGUAGCAGACAAGUGUCAGAAAAUUGCCACCAUCAACUUUAAACAGUGACUACUUUAGUUGAU